rnacentral:sRNA from 1 species
GCCUGAGCGGUGGGCUGCUUAGGAAGAGAAGGUCAGAGUUCGCGGGGGCAGAGGCAUUCUUGCCGCUGGCCCAGUCACUAUGUAGUGGAGGGGCAGACACCCUCCCGCAAAUUCUGGAAGGUUCUUAGUCUCGACUAGGGCAGUAGCCCCAGGACUCCUAGUCGCCGGCUUCGGGUCACUGCCGGCUGAACGGAGCUGCCGUCGCCAUGUUUGGCUGCUUGGUGGCGGGGAGGCUGGAGAAGGAAGCCAACAUCCUUUUGGAGCCAUGAAUAUUGUCCGAACUCCAUCUGUUGCUCAGAUUGGCAUUUCAGUGGAAUUAUUAGACAGUAUGGCUCAGCAGACUCCUGUAGGUAAUGCUGCUGUAUCCUCAGUUGACUCAUUCACUCAGUUCACACAAAAGAUGUUGGACAAUUUCUACAAUUUUGCUUCAUCAUUUGCUGUCUCUCAGGCCCAGAUGACACCAAGCCCAUCUGAAAUGUUCAUUCCGGCAAAUGUGGUUCUGAAAUGGUAUGAAAACUUUCAAAGACGACUAGCACAGAACCCUCUCUUUUGGAAAACAUAAUUUGAAUAAAAUAAUUUUUAAUGGAUUCUGAAAUUUGUCAUGUUUUGAAGAUAACUGACUCCAUCUAAAAGUAUGAGGUCAAAGGAUCACGAAACCUAAGUUUAAAAACUGCUUAGGGACUGAAGCUUAAUUAAAAAUCUUUAUUAAAAAUUA